UGAAAAUAAUGUUUGUUGCGUGGUAGUACUUGAUUGCCACUUGACUAACAUCUUGUGUAUAUAUCUUGAAGGAACUAAGCUCGGCAAUUGCCUCCAAGCGAGUGGCAAGAGAAAACGAUGACUUGUGCUAUAUUACUAGAGCUAGAAUCAUUUGCUGGUUUUAGGCCUUAGAUUAAUCUUUGUAGAUUGUAUGACACUGACAUCAAAUUAAAAUUCAGUAUAAACCAUCAUGUUUACAAAUAGUGAGAGUUUUGUUGAGGACAUCUAACUGAAAGAGGUUUAUUUUUGACAUCAAAUUCUUCAUGAAAUAUGUCAGCAUCCACGGCCAGCUUGGAGCAUGUCCGUGCGCCAUCGGCAUGUGAUCCUGUUGGAGUUGAUGAGUGGCAGAGCCUCAUUGCAAAGGCGUUGUAUAUGCGGUCAACUACAGUUUGUGUGUCCGUUUAAAUAGCUGCAGCAGCUGAACACAUGUAUCUAUUUUUUUCUUUCUAUGUAAGAACUAUAUAAUUGUAAGUGUCAUCGGAUGUAAUGCACAUAUGAUAUAUGCACACUCUGGUAGUUCUGUUUA